CUAGAUCAUCAUCAGAUCAUCACCAUUUCAACCAUCUCCGGCUACUCUUCGACUUCUCUCCCCGAUCUCCUUCUCCAACCUCUCAUUCCAAACUUCGAUUCCAAGAGAUCCCCCACCCCCAAUUAACCCAACAAAAAAAAAUCACAGAUUAUCAGAGGAAGGGAGAGAGCAAAAAAGGAAGAGGGAGCAUCGACACCGAUGAGUUGCCACUAGCGACCCACCUUCUUCCUCUCACCAAAUCUAAUUGUCUUACCGACGACCCGCCAAUCUGAAAUGGGGGUGGUUAAUUAACAGAGCUGGGGGGCCGAGAUAGGUUUGACAUCGGGAGCGAAACAUGUCUGAGAAAGGGGCUUGUGUCUUGAGAUCUGAAAUUGGGUGGUUGGUUGGCGUUCGAAUCUAAAAGGAUGAUGAAUUGAGAUGGUUGAGAAGAUCAUAAUCGGAGUUUGGAAGGAGAGGUUGGAGAAGGAGAUCAGGGAGAGAAGUCGAAGAGUAGCCGGAGAUGGUUGAGAUGGUGAUGAUCUUUUGAUGAUCUAGGGUUUCUUCAAUGAAGGGCGAGAGAAGAAGAUGAUGAUGAUGAUUUGAUUUUUUUUAGGGUAAAUUGCACUGGUGAUCUAAAAAGUUUUACAAAUAUUACAAUAUAGUACAUAUUUCACGGGUUUUGGCAACCUUCUGUGAAUCCAACUCGGCUUGAUGGCGUCAAUCGCCAGAUGACGGUAUGUAUUAUACCGAAACAACUUUGAAAGAUUGUGUACCAUUAAGUAGCAAAAAAAACUGUUUGUACCAUAUUGUAACAUUUGUAAAACUUUUUGGACCACCAGUGCAAUUUACCCAUGUAAAAGUGAACAAGAUGAAUAUGAUGAAGACUGAAUAGAGGGUGUAGAGUUGAAUUUUA